CACCCUUGAGACUGGAAUUCUAUCACGGCAACCCCCUAAUCCUUAUCUGAACUCUGUGACAACAAAGUAACUGUACUGUAGCCUACACAUUUCUUGUCUUAGUAAGAAACACUGAAGAAAACAAUAGCUUCCACGAUGGAUCCGAUCUUUUAAUCAGUGCUCGAUUAAUCUUGCCUGGCACAAUGGAACCAAUGGAAUAGCCCCAAGGUUUGGACACCACUCUGCAGAGAGCCCUCUAUCCUGACACCUCUGGAGCAAUGCUGCAGUUCCACUCUGCCCUGGUGUUUUCCUGCAGUCGACCAGACCCAGCAGUAAAGUACAGGGAGGCGAUCGACCUGGGGACUCAGGGUGGAUGGAGGGGGACGGACUAGAUUUGUCCUGUUGGAAGUUUGGAGGCCACUCUACAGAUGAACCCUCUAUCCUGACACCUUUGGAGCAGUGCUGCAGGAUCCGUCGCUCCACCCCACUGCUUCUGCCUGCGUCUCCUCUCCCUGCCCCAGUACAGUCUGUCAUGUCAUGAGGGACUCUCUUUUUCAUGAUCCUCUAUUCUCCGUGGCCCCUCUCCAAGCUGCAACUCUCCGCCCUGGACCGUUGCCUAGCGACCGUGCUCAGAACCUUGAGCCGUCGCCAGGAGCGACAGUGUUGCCGCCAUGGAAGAGGCGAGGAUGAUGUCACUCAUUACAAGACAUUACAUUACAUUUACAUUUACAAGACCUUGGUUACACCUGUGACACAUGCACGGUACACUCUUAGAAAAAAAAAUAUUUUGACAGUUGAAGUGUUGUUGUUGAGUGGGUGUGGCAACACUACACUUUUAGAAAAAAAAGGUGC